rnacentral:rRNA from 1 species
UUGCCCCGAGAUGAGUUCUCCCUGACUCCUUGAGAGUCCUGAAGGAACGUUGAAGACGACGACGUUGAUAGGCCGGGUGUGUAAGCGCAGCGAUGCGUUGAGCUAACCGGUACUAAUGAACCGUGAGGCUUAACCUU